rnacentral:rRNA from 1 species
CUACCAUGCAAGUCGAGCGGUAGAGAGAAGCUUGCUUCUCUUGAGAGCGGCGGACGGGUGAGUAAUGCCUAGGAAUCUGCCUGGUAGUGGGGGAUAACGUUCGGAAACGGACGCUAAUACCGCAUACGUCCUACGGGAGAAAGCAGGGGACCUUCGGGCCUUGCGCUAUCAGAUGAGCCUAGGUCGGAUUAGCUAGUUGGUGGGGUAAUGGCUCACCAAGGCGACGAUCCGUAACUGGUCUGAGAGGAUGAUCAGUCACACUGGAACUGAGACACGGUCCAGACUCCUACGGGAGGCAGCAGUGGGGAAUAUUGGACAAUGGGCGAAAGCCUGAUCCAGCCAUGCCGCGUGUGUGAAGAAGGUCUUCGGAUUGUAAAGCACUUUAAGUUGGGAGGAAGGGUUGUAGAUUAAUACUCUGCAAUUUUGACGUUACCGACAGAAUAAGCACCGGCUAACUCUGUGCCAGCAGCCGCGGUAAUACAGAGGGUGCAAGCGUUAAUCGGAAUUACUGGGCGUAAAGCGCGCGUAGGUGGUUUGUUAAGUUGGAUGUGAAAUCCCCGGGCUCAACCUGGGAACUGCAUUCAAAACUGACUGACUAGAGUAUGGUAGAGGGUGGUGGAAUUUCCUGUGUAGCGGUGAAAUGCGUAGAUAUAGGAAGGAACACCAGUGGCGAAGGCGACCACCUGGACUAAUACUGACACUGAGGUGCGAAAGCGUGGGGAGCAAACAGGAUUAGAUACCCUGGUAGUCCACGCCGUAAACGAUGUCAACUAGCCGUUGGAAGCCUUGAGCUUUUAGUGGCGCAGCUAACGCAUUAAGUUGACCGCCUGGGGAGUACGGCCG